rfam:Triticum aestivum genome assembly, contig: Triticum_aestivum_CS42_TGACv1_scaffold_592120_7BS
GUUAUACUCCCUCCGUUCCGAAUUACUUGUCUUAGAUUUGUCUAGAUACGGAUGUAUCUAGCACUAAAAUGAGUGUAUCUAGCACUAAAAUGAGUCUAGAUAUAUCCGUAUCUAGACAAAUCCAAGACAAAUAAUUCGGAACGGAUGGAGUAAAUG